UUGGGCACCAGAGUGUUUGCCUCAGUGGUAACAAGCUCAGCCUCUACUGAUUUUUCUUCGUUCAUGUGCUUCUAGUAACUUUUGUAUUUGCUCCCUCGCAGGUUUUUACCUGAGGCUUCGUUUACCUUGCUGAGACCUGACUUCGUUCCAGAAGUUCUCUGAGCAAUCUGGAUAAUCAUCUACUGAGUAUUGGAUCUACCUUCUUGUGGAUUUCUCUCCCAACCGUUUGUACUUCUCGGACAUGGACCAAGCUGGCGGCUUCCCGCUUCCUUCAACUCCAGGACCAAGGCAUAAGCGUACCCUGUUCGACCCUCCAUCGCGAGCAUCGGCACCCGUGCUUCAUCUGGUUUGCACCAAACCAGCAGCUGAGAAGACAACUGAGCAAGCUAAGACUCUGAAUCUCUCCCAUCUUAAUUCACCCUGACUCUUCGCAACAGUUUAUUUUAGAGGUCAAUGCCUCUGAUAUUGGGGUUGGAGCAGUGUUGUCGCAGAAUUCUGAGGAUGAGAGACUACAUCCUUGUGCCUUCUAUUCACGUAGACUGAACAACGCAGAAAUUAUGAUGUCGGAGAUAGUUAUUAGUAAUUAAAUUAGCUCUCGAAGAAUGGCGCCACUGGCUUGAGGGAGCUGAACAUCUUGUUCAAGUCUGGACGGACCAUAAAAACCUGGCUUACAUCAGCUAAGAGAUUGAACCCACGUCAGUCCCGGUGGUCUUUAUUCUUUUCACGUUUUGAUCUAUGCAUUUCUUUCAGACCUGGACCUAAGAACACUAAACCUGAUGCCCUUUCCAGACAGUUUGCUGUUGAUGACUCAGUAAAGAAGGCAGCUCCCAUUCUACCGCCCAGUUGGACGGUUGGGGCACUGGUUGUUGAUGGUUGGAGAUGGAAGACAUUAUCCUCAGACCUCAACAACAGAACCCAACCCUGGCACAGGACCACCCAAUCGCACCUAUGUCCCGCUUAAGGUUCAUUCCAGACUCAUUGAUUGGUUGCACACAGCUAAGUUUUCUGCUCAUCCAGGAGUCAGCAGAACCAUAGCUCUCAUACAGAGAAGGUUUAGGUGGCCUUCAGUUCAUAAGGACAUUAAGGACUUUGUUCAGGCCUGUGCCACGUGUGCCAGAAACAAAACCAGUGUUCAACCGCCCGCAGGUCUCCUCCAACCUCUUAGCAUUCCUGGCCGUCCCUGGUCGCAUACUGCUUUGGACUUUAUCGGUCUACCCCUAUCCUCAGGUAUGACUACCAUUCUCACAAUUGUUGACCGUUUCUCUAAAACGUGCCAUCUCAUCCCUCUCAGGAGACUUCCACCUGAGAGGGAAAACUAAGCUUCUCACCAAACCUGUUUUUUGUUUGCAUGGGAUCCCACAUGACAUUCUGUCCACCCGAGACAAUUCAUCUCUCAGGUCUGGAAGCAGUUCUGCUUAACUUUGGAAGCUAAGGUUUCAUUAACCUCCGGCUAUCACCCUCAAUCUAAUGGACAAAUGGAGAGACUCAACCCAACAACUUGAAUCCACUCUACACUGUCUCACUUCUACUAACCCAACAGACUGGUGCUCAUACCUACCAUGGGUUUAAUAUGUAUUAAAUUCUCACGUUUCCUCUGCUACAGGAUGUUCUCCCUUCGAAGCAUCCCUUGGUUACCAGCCGCCUUUGUUUUCUGCUGAUGAGACAGACAUCAUGGUUUCCUCGGCCCACCAACACAUACGUCACUGCAAAUCCAUCUGGAACUCCACCAUCCAAAUCCUCCAACGAACCACAGAACGAGCGCUUCACUGAUCGAAAAUGCCGACCUGCCCCAGAAUAUCGGCCUGGCCAAAAGUUCUGGUUGUCAGCACGUGAUAUACCACUAAAGUCUAUGUCCCGAAAACUUUCGCCUCGUUUCAUCGGACCUUAUGAGAUUGAGGCCGUGAUCAGUCCCUCUGCGGUUCACCUCCGUCUACCUGCAAGCCUUCGCAUACACCCUACAUUCCAUGUGUCCCAGAUAAAACCUUGGAUCUCUAGUGCUUCUUUUUUUGCUUCAUUCAUGUGCUUCUAGUAACUUUUGUAUUUGCUCCCUCGCAGGUUUUUAUCUGAGGCUUUGUUUACCUUGCUGAGACCUGACUUUAUUCCAGAGGUUCUCUGAGCAAUCUGGAUAAUCAUCUACUGAGUAUUGGAUCUACCUUCUUGUGGAUUUCUCUCCCAACCGUUUGUACUUUUCGGACACGGACAAAGCUGGCGGCGUCCCGCUUCCUUCAACUCCAGGACCAAGGCAUAAGCGUACCCUGUUCCACCCUCCAUCGCGAGCAUCGGCACCUGUGCUUCAUCUGGUUUGCACCAAACCAGCAGCUGAGAAGACAACUGAGCAACCUCACUUCGCAAGCUAAGACUCUGAAUCUCUCUACCCCUGGUGGCUCAAGCAACAGCAAUUUAUUGGUGUUUCCAGUUCUCGUCCGUGAUUACUUUGCUGACAAUAAAAACACGUUAUACUUUA